UCAUGGGGAAAUUUGCUAUCAAUUUUUAAUUUGUUACUCUGAUGUAUUCUAUUGUCGACAAAAUUAUAUAGUCAAACGAGGCAUGUAGCACAGGUAUUCAGUCUAGAAUGAUAUUUUGGUGAGGAUAAUCAUGAAUUCUCUUGGGUUCUGUCCUGAUAUUUGGCAGUUGUAGAAUAUCGUAUCCAUUAUUUGUUUGAAAUAUGAUAUCUCCAUUGUUACUGUAGAAUAUCAUGCGAUUAUUUAUUUGAAAUAUGACAUCUUCAUUGUUACUGUAGAAUAUCAUGUCCAUUAUUUAUUUGAAAUAUGACAUCUCCAUUGUUACUACUGGAGCUGAAAAAUAUAUUUCACAACUACCUAAAUAAAUCUAUUUUAUCAUCUAUUACUGACUUUUUUAUUCCCAGGUCCAAAGAAAUAAGUUCUACAAGUGCAACCUUAUGUCUGUAUCAGGUGUACUGCUCUAAAUUUCUUAAGCGAUCAGGUGUCCUGUUAUAUGGACCUCCAGGCACUGGGAAGACAUUACUUGUGAAAGCAGUAGCAACUGAGUGCUCAUUAAACUUUCUUAGCGUAAAAGGUCCAGAACUGACAAACAUGUAUGUUGGAGAGUCAGAGAGGAAUAUCAGGGACAUCUUUUAGAAGGCUAGAUCAGCACGCCCAUGAGUAAUUUUCUUCGAUGAGCUUGAUUCCCUUGCUCCUGCACGAGGGUCCUCUGCACAUUCUAGAGAUGUGAUGGAUAAAUGGUUUCUCAGCACAAAUGCCCGAUGGAGAUGCAUAUGUUUGGCAUUCUAUCAGUAAACAUACACGUGCGCUGCCUUGCAGUACUACAUUUUGUGAUUGUGUAGUAUCCACACUACUACUAAUGCUUAAGUCCGUUGCCUUGCCGUGUAAUUGUGUCAUAUGCACACCAAUACUAAUGCUCUAUGCUCUCGCCUGAGAGCACGUGCUGUGCUUUGUAUCAUCUAAAAAAAUGUAAACUCUAUAAUUAGAAA